rnacentral:rRNA from 1 species
ACUUAAAUUGAAGAGUUUGAUCAUGGCUCAGAUUGAACGCUGGCGGCAGGCCUAACACAUGCAAGUCGAGCGGUAACACAGAGAGCUUGCUCUCGGGUGACGAGCGGCGGACGGGUGAGUAAUGUCUGGGAAACUGCCUGAUGGAGGGGGAUAACUACUGGAAACGGUAGCUAAUACCGCAUAACGUCGCAAGACCAAAGUGGGGGACCUUCGGGCCUCAUGCCAUCAGAUGUGCCCAGAUGGGAUUAGCUAGUAGGUGGGGUAAUGGCUCACCUAGGCGACGAUCCCUAGCUGGUCUGAGAGGAUGACCAGCCACACUGGAACUGAGACACGGUCCAGACUCCUACGGGAGGCAGCAGUGGGGAAUAUUGCACAAUGGGCGCAAGCCUGAUGCAGCCAUGCCGCGUGUAUGAAGAAGGCCUUCGGGUUGUAAAGUACUUUCAGCGAGGAGGAAGGCGUUAAGGUUAAUAACCUUAGCGAUUGACGUUACUCGCAGAAGAAGCACCGGCUAACUCCGUGCCAGCAGCCGCGGUAAUACGGAGGGUGCAAGCGUUAAUCGGAAUUACUGGGCGUAAAGCGCACGCAGGCGGUCUGUCAAGUCGGAUGUGAAAUCCCCGGGCUCAACCUGGGAACUGCAUUCGAAACUGGCAGGCUAGAGUCUUGUAGAGGGGGGUAGAAUUCCAGGUGUAGCGGUGAAAUGCGUAGAGAUCUGGAGGAAUACCGGUGGCGAAGGCGGCCCCCUGGACAAAGACUGACGCUCAGGUGCGAAAGCGUGGGGAGCAAACAGGAUUAGAUACCCUGGUAGUCCACGCCGUAAACGAUGUCGACUUGGAGGUUGUGCCCUUGAGGCGUGGCUUCCGGAGCUAACGCGUUAAGUCGACCGCCUGGGGAGUACGGCCGCAAGGUUAAAACUCAAAUGAAUUGACGGGGGCCCGCACAAGCGGUGGAGCAUGUGGUUUAAUUCGAUGCAACGCGAAGAACCUUACCUACUCUUGACAUCCAGAGAACUUAGCAGAGAUGCUUUGGUGCCUUCGGGAACUCUGAGACAGGUGCUGCAUGGCUGUCGUCAGCUCGUGUUGUGAAAUGUUGGGUUAAGUCCCGCAACGAGCGCAACCCUUAUCCUUUGUUGCCAGCGGUCCGGCCGGGAACUCAAAGGAGACUGCCAGUGAUAAACUGGAGGAAGGUGGGGAUGACGUCAAGUCAUCAUGGCCCUUACGAGUAGGGCUACACACGUGCUACAAUGGCAUAUACAAAGAGAAGCGACCUCGCGAGAGCAAGCGGACCUCAUAAAGUAUGUCGUAGUCCGGAUUGGAGUCUGCAACUCGACUCCAUGAAGUCGGAAUCGCUAGUAAUCGUAGAUCAGAAUGCUACGGUGAAUACGUUCCCGGGCCUUGUACACACCGCCCGUCACACCAUGGGAGUGGGUUGCAAAAGAAGUAGGUAGCUUAACCUUCGGGAGGGCGCUUACCACUUUGUGAUUCAUGACUGGGGUGAAGUCGUAACAAGGUAACCGUAGGGGAACCUGCGGUUGGAUCACCUCCUUACCUUAAAGAA